GCUCAGGAUGAACGCUGGCGGCGUGCUUAACACAUGCAAGUCGAACGAUGAUCCCAGCUUGCUGGGGGAUUAGUGGCGAACGGGUGAGUAACACGUGAGUAACCUGCCCUUGACUCUGGGAUAAGCCUGGGAAACUGGGUCUAAUACCGGAUACGACCAUCUGGCGCAUGUCAUGGUGGUGGAAAGCUUUUGUGGUUUUGGAUGGACUCGCGGCCUAUCAGCUUGUUGGUGGGGUAAUGGCCUACCAAGGCGACGACGGGUAGCCGGCCUGAGAGGGUGACCGGCCACACUGGGACUGAGACACGGCCCAGACUCCUACGGGAGGCAGCAGUGGGGAAUAUUGCACAAUGGGCGCAAGCCUGAUGCAGCGACGCCGCGUGAGGGAUGACGGCCUUCGGGUUGUAAACCUCUUUCAGUAGGGAAGAAGCGAAAGUGACGGUACCUGCAGAAGAAGCGCCGGCUAACUACGUGCCAGCAGCCGCGGUAAUACGUAGGGCGCAAGCGUUAUCCGGAAUUAUUGGGCGUAAAGAGCUCGUAGGCGGUUUGUCGCGUCUGCUGUGAAAGACCGGGGCUCAACUCCGGUUCUGCAGUGGGUACGGGCAGACUAGAGUGCAGUAGGGGAGACUGGAAUUCCUGGUGUAGCGGUGAAAUGCGCAGAUAUCAGGAGGAACACCG
rnacentral:rRNA from 1 species